ensembl:lncRNA
AGGCGAUGACUCCAGCUCGCCUGCCAGGUGGUUUUCUUAAUUAGUUAAUUGGUUGCAUCUGGUGCGUUUCACUUAAAAGGGAACCGGACAGUACAUUAGUUUGUGUACUGCUUUGUUGGUUAAAGACUUUUUGAAGUAAAGAGGAGCAUCUCAUCUGAACCUGAUGUAUAUCAUGGAUAUUUAACUGCAGUUCUGUGAGUAUCCCAACUUAACCAUGAAGCAUAACUGCAAACUGUAAGUCAUUAAUUUCUCAUUACUCUUGGGCACAUUGAUGUAUUUUGGCUUCCUGGUGAGUUAACCUGUUAAAUGAAGGUUGACCUGAGUUGUAAGGAUGUUUUAUUGGUUCAUGGGUUACUUAGGUGUUUGGUUUAUGUUGGUUUUAAUGAUUUGAUAAACUGGUUACAGACUCCAAGUUAUUGUUGUAAGCUGGAGUAAUGGGUUGGGUUCUGAUAUCUUCAGUCUUCUUUCAUUCUACUCUCCUGAGCUCUGCAUCUUCAUCACAUGAGUGUUGCUUUACUAAUGAGGUUGUGGUCUGAGUGAGCAGAGGUGCAUACUGGGAUACAGAGCUGUCUGAAGUCUACAGGUCUGUAGACACGCCCCCUCAGGGGAAACCGAGUGUUUGAGAAACGUUGGUGACGUCAGUUACAUGGACUGGAAUGUUCUUAAAGAUGGAGACAGGGAUCCAGAAAGAGAAAAAUCAGGGGGAGAUGAGGGGGCUCCUCAUCUCAACGACUAAAACACAACUUCACUCUGACAUAGAGAACCAUGGAACACAUUCAACAGUCCUCUCCAGGCAUCGUGACUCCUCAGGAACAGUUUAAUUUCCAAGAAGGUCUUAUUUGGGGCCAUCCCCAUAUGGAUCCUGCUCCUCAAGAGCCACCCCCCUCCACUGGGUGGUCUUCUGAACAGAUGACCUCCUUCCUGUCCGCAGGCUGACUAAAGCUGCAACGUUUGCAUCUGUGAAGGCCCCGCUUUCAGGAAACCACUGGACUACAAAGACAUGACUUCAGAGAUGUUGAAUCAACCUGGGACACAUUUUUGGAGACGCCAAGCAUAAUCCAUCACCAAUGUGGGACGCCACUGAAGAAUGUUGUACAUAAUUUACGUCUCUUCGAGACAUUGGUUGUUCUGUUAUGGGUGCCCUGGCAGGAGCGCUGGGGGGGGGGUGAUGGAAUGCUAUUUGGCAUCAGGGUUUUUACCCUGUAUGAUUGUUUGGACUUUUAUGGCUCUGUGGUGUGUGUGUUUGGGUUUGACAUGAGAUGGAAGAUUUUUGAGCAUUGCUAGGGUUCUACUGUGUGUGUGUGUGUGUCUCCCACUCACACCUGGCAUGGGGUUCUACGUGCCUGUCCUGGAUUCUAUGUGUGUGUGUGUGUGUGUGUGUGUGUGUGUGUGUGUCCGGCUUGCUUUGACAGCGAUAAUGUUCAUACGGGGGUCUGUGUGAUUGGCUUGGGAUAUUGGAAUGGUCAACUAAAUCAUACCUGAUGGACGGCCACACGUUUACUUAAGGGCCUCCAGUAGACAUGAAGAGCCCUGAGCGACGCUCCGGAGCGAUAUCCAACACACUGGGCAGGAAGGAGAGUAUCCAACUCAAGUGUAAAAGGAUGCAAGCGGCGUGUUCAGAUCAGUGACUUCAAACUAGGACUACACCAAUCAGGAUCAAUGGAGGAUGGACACCAAAAGGAAUUCCACAAGGAGAGUCUGACGUUGGAAAGGGACCUAAAUGGAUAUUCAAGAUGACCUUCAGACCUGUAAUGAGACGGCUCUUCCUACUUGGCUGGAUUGAUGGAGAGCCCUGUGGAUCUUGUCUUGCUCUCAGUUGCACGUCUUCUCAGGCUGAACUGUAUUUGUUUCGGACAGGACAAGUUGAACGAUUGGUUCCCUUAAAUCAGAACCAAUCCGGGAACUCCAGCUAGUGCGCUCUUCGAGCUGAAGUUGUGCUCUUCAGCUGAGGAGGUAAUGAAACCUUCACUGGGGCUUCAAGUUGUAAAGAGGAGAAUGUUUCAAAGUGUUCCAUGGUACUCUGAAGACCGUUGUUGUGUUCCACUGGCUGAGAGAAAGAACCCACACAUCUUCCUCUUGGCCUUUCUCCUCUGAGAAUCCUGGCGCCAUCUUGAAGGAUAUUCCAGCUCAUGUAACUGAUGUCACGACAGAUUCUCAAACACUUGGUUUCUCCUGAGGGGUGUGUCUAUGGAACUGAAGACCUCAGACAGCACUGUAUCCCAGCAUGCAUCUCUGCUCACUCAGACCACACCCCAUGAGUAGGAUGCAACACUAGUGAUGGAGAUGUAGAGUUCUAUAAGUAACGAGGGAGCAGACUAAGGUGAUUGGAACACAAUGGAAUGUCAAGUUUGUAAAUCUAUAAACAAUGAAGAUGGUUGCAUAGUUCAGGAUGUGGCUUAUUUUUAUUAUGGACAGUCCUUUCACUCGGAUGCCCACUUCUCACUGGAGCUGUACAUGUGUUGGCUGGCUGGCAUGAUUUGCUGUUGGUGAUGAGGCGGUCAGGGUGACGUUGCAGGGCUAUGGUCGGCUCUCUGUGAGCUCAACGUUUAGAUUUGCUCUGUAUGUUUGUACCCUGAAUAAUCUAGAUAAUUGUAAAAUGUAGACACGGUUUUGUAUUGAAUGAUUCUAGGAUUUUAGUUUUAAAGUUGUCGUGGGACGUACAUGGUAGUUUGUUUUCUUCGUAUGGUUUUGAGUGAUAACUUGUACACACUGGGUGCAUAAUAAUGUGGAGGUACACUGAAUAGUACUAAUGACCAACAGCAACAAACAGAUCUCCUCAAGGUAAGUCUGUUGGCUGUGUUUUAAUGAAGACCAUCGCUGGACUUCAGGAUCUUCCUCCGUUCAGCUCAAGGUGAGGCGCUGGUUCUGUUUUUUUCUUUGGUUGGUUCCGGCCGGAAUGUUCGGAUUCCAGUCGGACGGUUUGUGCUUCCCGCCGUGGAAGGUUCUGAGUGCGGUCACUUGAUUUAGUCCCAAUGGUUAGCAUAGAACGUUGUAGUCUUGACAACCAUAAGAAACCACCUGGCAGUUAGUUGGACGGGAGUCCCCUGAGGGAAUCUGGCGGAACGUUCUGGAUUGUAUUUGCGUAACCUCGAGCCGUUGCCAACGGAAACUUUUUUUUUUGUCUGUUUCCAUCGGGAAUUGUUGCCCCUAUCUUAAACAACUUAAGUUUGAUAUUAAAUACAUACUGACACGUACGUCGUACAAUAUGUUGAUUUCCGAUGGUUGCGCCGUAUUUUUAACCAUGAUGACGUGAUGGGACUCUCACUGCGUACAAAACAGCGUUCUACUUGCGGGCCCAUUUUUGACAUCAGGGAAGGCUGAAAAUCAUUUCAAGGAGGAAGAUAAUUUGACAUUUCUUCAACGGAACCCAGCACCUGAAUAUGGCUGAGUAUAUUUGAUUUAAUAUCGAUACUGCUUAGUGUUCUUUGUUACUUCAGCUUUUGUACGUUCUAAAUAUCUGCUGUCAUUAAUUGCUACAGAAGUUAAACCCUACCCAAUGGAAUAACGACUUUGGUGCAGAGUUACCAACUAGAUAAUAUCAAAGCUAAAAUAAUGGCCGUCAUUCCCACAUGUUACAGUAGAAGAUACUCUAGAACUGUACAAGGUUAAAGAGGUAACAUGUAGUUUGUCCCAAGGUGUCUGCCUCCUCACCUAGAGUAAGACCUCCACCUCUUCACCCGGAGCCAGACCUCCACCUUCUGUCAGAAGUCCUCCAGAACAGAUGAGAGGCUGGGGACCGGAGGCUUGUGGUGCCAGGGUGGACCGGAGACUGAGGCUGGAGACCAGGGGUCUGCAGCACCGGACCAGAGGACCAGGACUCUGUCUGAGGAGAGCUGCUGGAGGAGCUGAGACGCUGGAGGACGACUAGGAAUCGGCCAACAAGGAUUCCUCAACGUGUUUCUGGAGCGGAGGCGAGCUGGUAGGGGAGCCGUGAAUCUGGAGGAUGACCAUCACUCUACCAACAAGGAUUGUAAGUUUGUAUUAACCAAAAAAACUGGAAAUAAAGGGCUUAAGGUUUUAGUUUUAAAGUUGUCGUGGGACGUACAUGGCAGUUUGUUUUCUUCGUAUGGUUUUGAGUGAUAUAACUUGUACACACUGGGUGCAUAAUAAUGUGAAGGUACACUGAAUAGUACUAAUGACCAACAGCAACAAACAGAUCUCCUCAAGGUAAGUCUGUUGGCUGUGUUUUAAUGAAGACCAUCGCUGGACUUCAGGAUCUUCCUCCGUUCAGCUCAAGGUGAGGCGCUGGUUCUGUUUUUUUUCUUUGGUUGGUUCCGGCCGGAAUGUUCGGAUUCCUGUCGGACGGUUUGUGCUUCCCGCCGUGGAAGGUUCUGAGUGCGGUCACUUGAUUUAGUCCCAAUGGUUAGCAUAGAACGUUGUAGUCUUGACAACCAUAAGAAACCACCUGGCAGUUAGUUGGACGGGAGUCCCCUGAGGGAAUCUGGCGGAACGUUUUGGAUUGUAUUUGCGUAACCUCGAGCCGUUGCCAACGGAAACUAUUUUUCAGUCGGUUUCCAUCGGGAAUUGUUGCCCCUAUCUUAAACAACUUAAGUUUGAUAUUAAAUACAUACUGACACGUACGUCGUACAAUAUGUUGAUUUCCGAUGGUUGCGCCGUAUUUUUAACCACGAUGACGUGAUGGGACUCUCACUGCGUACAAAACGGCAUUCUACUUGCGGGCCCAUUUUUGACAUCAGGGAAGGCUGAAAAUCAUUUCAAGGAGGAAGAUAAUUUGACAUUUCUUCAACGGAAUCCAGCACCUGAAUAUGGCUGAGUAUAUUUGAUUUAAUAUCGAUGCUGCUUAGUGUUCUUUGUUACUUCAGCUUUUGUACGUUCUAAAUAUUUGCUGUCAUUAAUUGCUACAGAAGUUAAACCCUACCCAAUGGAAUGACGUUAAACAACGACUUUGGUGCAGAGUUACCAUCUAGAUAAUAUCAAAGCUAAAAUAAUGGCCGUCAUUCCCACAUGUUACAGUAGAAGAUACUCUAGAACUGUACAAGGUUAAAAAGGUAACAUGUAGUUUGUCCCAAGGUGUCUGCCUCCUCACCUAGAGUAAGACCUCCACCUCUUCAUCCGGAGCCAGACCUCCACCUUCUGUCAGAAGUCCUCCAGAACAGAUGAGAGGCUGGGGACCGGAGGCUUGUGGUGCCAGGGUGGACCGGAGACUGAGGCUGGAGACCAGGGGUCUGCAGCACCGGACCAGAGGACCAGGACUCUGUCUGAGGAGAGCUGCUGGAGGACGACUAGGAAUCGGCCAACAAGGAUUCCUCAACGUGUUUCUGGAGCGGAGGCGAGCUGGUAGGGGAGCCGUGAAUCUGGAGGAUGACCAUCACUCUACCAACAAGGAUUGUAAGUUUGUAUUAACCAAACAAACUGGAAUUAAAGGGCUUAAAUAUAAGACAAACUACAUAUUUGUUACCAGAGUUUAGGGCCAGACUCUCGCUGUUUGUUCGAGACCAGGACUCUGGCUGAGGAGAGCUGAUGGAGGAGCCAAGACUCGAGCCAAGAGGACAACAUCACUCCACCAACGAGGAUCCUCGUAAGUUUGCCUAAAAUAAACAGAGUGGACUUGUUGCAACGCAGGAUUAGUUUGUCCAGUACAAGUUACGGCAUACUAUUGUGCUUGUUUACCAGACAAACUACAGCUGCUACUUUGUUACGCGCCAUUAGAACCCAACUACUACUGUGUUUGUGACCUUACAUUAGAUAUAAACUACUACUGUGUUUGUUACCUGAUAUUAGAGACAAACUACUACUGUGUUUGUUACCUUACAUUAGAGCCCAACUACUACUGUAUUUGUUACCUUACAUUAGAGCCUAACUACUCCUGUAUUUGUUGCCUUACAUUAGAGUCAAACUACUACUGUGUUUGUUACCUUACAUUAGAGACAAACUACUACUGUGUUUGUUACCUGAUAUUAGAGACAAACUACUGCUAUGUUUGUUACCUUACAUUGGAGACAAAUUACGUUUGUAACCAGACCAGGAAUCUGGAGGACUGAUGGAGAAGCCGUACAUCUGGAAGGCAAAUCCUGAGGACCACCAGGACUCUAUCAUCAAGGAUUCCUAAGUUUGCAUUAUCUGGACAUAGUGGACUAGGUAGGGGGUUGGGGGUUUAACUCUCAAACCAAUGGUGCCGGGUUCAAGUCCUCAGAAUACAGUGAUGCGUCCUUGAGCAAGGCGCCUUAAAGCCUGCCUGCUCCUUAAUGACUUGUCUUUGGUUCAGAUAAUGUUGCAUCUUUUGAAUAUUGAACCUAAUCAAUGUCCUUGUUUGGUCCGGGCAGACACUGCUGAGCUGAACCUCACCUGAUCAUGUUUGGUCGGGGGUAGACACACCUGAGCUAAACCCGCCCUGAUCCUGACAUCCUGCUGGUCCCGUCUCCUCAGUUCAUAUGAGCCUCGUCCUCCAGAAGACCUGCUGAGCUCAGCAGUCUGAGGCUGAUGGAUCAAUGACCUCCAGUGGGAGUGAUCUUCUUGACCCCACAUGUAACCGUGUGCUUCCACACGCCUUUCCCUCACGUCUGUCACUAACCUCACUACUUCACUACUCUCUACUGCUUCCUCUUUUCUUCCUUCUCUGUGGUUCAAACCUUUACACUGAAGGCGCGUCUUCCUGCCCUCAGAGGGUUUAGCGUUAGGGUUGAGAGUCAGGGUUUAGAGUCAGGGACAGAGCUGGUCAGGGAGGACUGCUUUUACACAAACCUCUUCACUUGCUUUCGGAACGGUGGUGACAUUUUGAAAAGAUUGAUUUGGGAAAAUGUUUCCCUCUGCUGAGUCCUGGUCUGUUUGUUCCAGACCAGGACUCUGGCUGAGGAGAGCUGAUGGAGGAGCCAAGACUCGAGCCAAGAGGACAACAUCACUCCACCAACCAGGAUCCUCACCAGGAAUCUGGAGGACUGAUGGAGAAGCCGUACAUCUGGAAGGCAAAUCCUGAGGACCACCAGGACUCUACCAUCAAGGAUUCCUAAGUUUGCGUUAUCUGGACAUAGUGGACUAGACACACCUGAGCUGAACCUCACCUGAUCCUGUUUGGUCGGGGGUAGACAUACCUGAGCUAAACCCGCCCUGAUCCUGACAUCCUGCUGGUCCCGUCUCCUCAGUUCAUAUGAGCCUCGUCCUCCAGAAGACCUGCUGAGCUCAGCAGUCUGAGGCUGAUGGAUCAAUGACCUCCAGUGGGAGUGAUCUUCUUGACCCCACAUGUAACCGUGUGCUUCCACACGCCUUUCCCUCACGUCUGUCACUAACCUCACUACUUCACUACUCUCUACUGCUUCCUCUUUUCUUCCUUCUCUGUGGUUCAAACCUUUACACGGAAGGCGCGUCUUCCUGCCCUCAGAGGGUUUAGCGUUAGGGUUGAGAGUCAGGGUUUAGAGUCAGGGACAGAGCUGGUCAGGGAGGACUGCUUUUACACAAACCUCUUCACUUGCUUUCGGAACGGUGGUGACAUUUUGAAAAGAUUCAUUUGGGAAGAUGUUUCCCUCUGCUUUCCUUUACAAAAUUGUAUUCAACUUCUGUCAAGUGUUUUGGUUUAUAUAUUAAAAUCCCACAUUGACUUCUACAUGUUUGGUGCGGUUCAUUUAAUUGUCCUUUUAACUUGGUUAAUGUCAAGCUAAACUCCUAAUACAUUUAACAUACAUGAUUGUUAUUCAGCAAUGUUCACAUAAUCCAUUUUGUAAAAAUAUGACGC